AUUGAACGCUGGCGGCAGGCCUAACACAUGCAAGUCUGGCGAGCGGCGGACGGGUGAGUAAUGUAUGGGGAUCUGCCUGAUGGAGGGGGAUCACUACUGGAAAAGGUAGCUAAUACCGCAUACCAUCAGAUGAACCCAUAGGGGAUUAGCGUGUAGGUAAGGUAACGGCUUACCUAGGCGACGAUCCCUAGCUGGUCUGAGAGGGUGAUAGGCCAAACUGGGACUGAGACACGGCCCAGACUCCUACGGGAGGCAGCAGUGGGGAAUAUUUCACAAUGGGCGCAAUCCUGAUGCAGCCAUGCCGCGUGUAUGAAGAAGGUCUGCGGGUUGUAAAGUACUGUCAGUCGGGAGGCGUUACCGACAGAAGAAGCACCGGCUAACUCCGUGCCAGCAGCCGCGGUAAUAC
rnacentral:rRNA from 1 species